UAUGGACCUAUAAAUCAGAUUCAGAAGGGAUAAGUGCUGGAUUUUUUCACAGUUGUGCUCUUAAAAAUGUUUUCUCCAAACACAGCACACGUGAAUGGCUUAGAAGAGGAGAUCUGUCUGUAACGACUGUCACUGAACAACUCUGCCCUUAGGUCUGCAGCUACAGCAGGGGAUUGGACUAUUCCUACAAAGACAUUCUAAGCAAGAAAAGAGCCACCCAACAAACCCUAUGUUCUGAAAAGUGCUGUUCCACUGCGUAAAGGUCACAGACUACAGCCACAGAUUCUGCUGCUACAGAAAGAGGCAAAAGAACGCUGAACUGCAGUAAGGGAAAUGCAGACUGGGGGAAGCCUUUCUUCCUCAAAUCUUUCUGAAUCCCAAAAGCAUAGGAUUUCAUUAUUGCCACCACUUAAUACAGAAUGACCCGCAGCACCAACAUGGCAAUCAAUUCUAUGGGCCUGCUUACCGUAAAUGUGAGGUCCCCUUCCUGCUGUGCAUUAAAGCUUCCCACUGCAAUGCAUUCUUUAACAUCAGGAUCAUCCAAGUUAUCCCCAUCUUCCUCAUCUGCUUCUUCACUUUCUUCUUCCUCACUGCUUUCACCAUUGUCAUCAGCACCCUCAUCCUCUUCUUUAUCUUUGUGUUCUCUCCGAGAAUCUUUCAGACUCCCCUUGUUCCUACCCAAAAUAAAUCAAACUUUUUAUUCACUUUUUAAUUUUAUAUAUAUAUAUAUAUUUUAAUUGCUGUUAAAGCCUUACAACACGGGCUUCCCUGUGUUAUCCAGAAAUCUCUUUGUAGACUCUGGCCUGACCUGAAAUGGUUUUUCAUCCCUAAGAAUACAGACCACAGUACAACCUACGUUAUAUCUCAGCCAUUAAACAAAAUCCUCGGAAAACUGCA